AUGAACGCUGGCGGCGUGCCUAAUACAUGCAAGUCGAGCGGCAGCGAGUCCUUCGGGAUGGCGGCGAGCGGCGGACGGCUGAGUAACACGUAGGAACGUACCCCAAACUGAGGGAUAAGCACCAGAAAUGGUGUCUAAUACCGCAUGUGCUCCACGGAGUAAAGCUUCGGCGGUUUGGGAACGGCCUGCGUCUGAUUAGUUUGUUGGUGAGGUAAUGGCUCACCAAGACUACGAUCAGUAGCUGGUCUGAGAGGAUGACCAGCCAGACUGGGACUGAGAACGGCCCAGACUCCUACGGGAGGCAGCAGUAGGGAAUCUUCCACAAUGGACGAAAGUCUGAUGGAGCAACGCCGCGUGCAGGAUGAAGGCCUUCGGGUUGUAAACUGCUUUUAUCUGUGACGAAUAUGACGGUAGCAGAUGAAUAAGGAUCGGCUAACUCCGU
rnacentral:rRNA from 1 species